GGGAAUGUGGCUUAGUGGUAAAGUGCUUGCCUAGCAUGCAUGAAGCCCUGGGUUUGAUUCCCCAGUACCA
rnacentral:tRNA from 1 species